GUAAAAGGAAGGGUGGAUCAAUUGAAAAAAGUUGUUUCGGAGGGCCUUCUCGCAAAAGCGUUUUUCUUCUUUCGGGUUUAAUUUUGUUCAAAACGGCUGAAGCUUGUGAAAUCCAUAGAAAAUUGUAGGAAAAUGAUAAAAGUGCGAAAUAAAUUCUAUUAGGUUUCUUAUGAACUGUUUACUUAGGAAAAACUACUUGUUGAGGUGCACCAUAUGUUUCCGUUACUGAACAAAAUGUGUGUUGCUUAAUCUCCUUUUAUUUGGAAGGCAUAGCUAUGUCGUUCA
rnacentral:lncRNA from 1 species